CUUUAGGAAAUUAUAUAAAGUCGGGCCUGCUCACUGAAAAUUUUUGAAGAGCCGCGGUAUUUUGACCGUGCAAAGGUAGCAUAAUCAGUAGUUUCUUAAUUGGGGGCUGGAAUGAAUGGUUUGACGAGAUGAAAUCUGUUUUUGUAUAAUAAAUUGAAUUUUAUAUUUAAGUUAAAAAGCUUAAAUUUUUGAAAGGGACGAGAAGACCCUAUAGAUUUUUAUAAUUUAUUUUUUGGUAGUUUUAGAUUAAACUUUAAUUUUGGAAUUAUUUAAUUGGGGUGAUGAAAGAAUAAUUUAACUUCUUUUUAUGAAAAACAAGAAUAUUUGGAUUGUUGAUCCUAUAGUAUAGAUUAUAAGAUUAAAAUACCUUAGGGAUAACAGCGUAAUUUUAUUUGAGAGUUCAAAUCGAUAAUAGAGAUUGCGACCUCGAUGUUGGAUUAAGAAUAUUUUUUGGUGCAGAAAUUGAAAUAAUAAGUCUGUUC
rnacentral:rRNA from 1 species